rnacentral:lncRNA from 1 species
UUGGUAGAUUUGACUGAUUUAAGGUAGAAAUGUGUUUGCGUAAUUACUGGUUGAGUAUUUUGGCAACAAUUUGGUUUUGCACUUUGCCAAGGUUUCAGUGCCUGUAUCUUGCAGUUAAAUCGAGAUAUGAUAAUGAAAUUGAUGUCAUCUUAAAGGAUUUUUCCUGCUCUUUCCGAAUAUGUGCCUGUUUUGCAUGUAGAUGUUUCGGAGGUCUCACAAAUGUGGGUUGUUUUGGAAUUGUCGCAUUUUCUCUUUUUUCCGCUGUGACUGGGAGGCGGCUGGAGAUGGGACAUGGUUGAUGCGGUUUUUCUUCUUCCCCAUGAGCUGUUCUGUCCGCCCGUUUCGUUUGGCAGAUUAUGUCAGGGUCGCCC